CUUUCGGUCAUGACCCAAAGUUCAUGGCCAUAGGUGAAAGUUCAUGGCCAUAGGUGAGGGUUGGGUUGUUUUGAUCUAUUAAAAAAAUUAAAGUUUAUGGUUGUGACCAAAGAAAAUGUGAAAAGGUUUAAGAGGUAUAAGACGAUAUGUGAGGUGCUAUAACUCCUGUUAAAAAUGUAACCUGACUUUAAGGUUAUUGGAUCCUAUAUUCGUCAAUAACACUGUGAAUUAAACUCAAGUCAAAAUGUUGUAAAUCUUGUGCUGCUAACAAAUGUUGCUCAAGCAUGUAAAACAUAUUUUAUUCAAGCUUCGAAAUGUACACCCUAAAGUAAAUCAACAUUUAACGAGUGUUUAUGAGAACUUCGACUUGUUGAUGGUGCAAAGUAAAGACUUUGUGGCUCUUUUAGUUGGACUUUCUUUUAAUCCAGCUCUAAAACAACCUGCUGUUGUGUCUAAAUUCAUCAUUUUCUGACAUCAAGUUGAGAUCCACAGCAUUGGGCCAUGAAUCUGGUAGCUGAUGACAAUCAGGAUUUCUGAAUAAUUCACUAAAUGUUUUUCUGCUACUGAAGAGUUGACCAGGGAUUAGUCCCGACUAAUGUUCAACAUGACUUGGUUCAAAGAUCAGUCAAAGUAUCAAACUCAAGGUCCGUUUCUGUUUUAACCGCUAAGUGACACUAAGUGAUGUUUAUUGCUAACUGAGGUCACAAAAUGAGAGAAAUAAGUAACCUCAGCUGCAAGAAAACAGCUUGAGGAAAAGGCAAUUAAUGACUGUGUAGGUGUUGUAUGGGAGGAUGCUGCAUCGUCAGCAUUAGGUGCUAAAAUGAUGCAACUUACUGCUCCAAACUCUAUCAUAGGUUAUGUGUCAGUAAUAACUGAUGAUGUCUGAUUUUAACUUUACACUAAACAUCUCCAGAGUCAGGAGAUAGACUGUGUCAUAGACACAUUUAGGUAGAUUUUGAAGAAUGUGUGACUAAAUUAAUAAAUCUUUUCUCUUUGGAGGUGGUUUCUAUCUCUUUAGAUGAACUGGUUGUUAUCAUUCAGUAGGCUUCACAUUUGUUAUAUUAUGUUCAUGGCCCCUAAGGGUCCUACUACUAUAACAUCUAGAGACAAAUUAAGUUCAUUCAGAAUAUCGGCGCUAAAUCAACAUACAAAAUCAACUUUAAGCAUCUGAGCUUCAGCUUCUAUCGUGUCGCUGAAGCUUUAACCUGGGAAAAAUAUUUUCAGCUUCUCCUGUUUGCAGCCACCAUGUUUCAACCAACUACUGAGCACCGAAUAAGAGCUGUUAAGGUGAUAUGACAUGACAUAAUGAGGUAAGAGAUUUAGUGACAUGACUCACUUGAUGCAAGGUCCAAUCUACUGCAGAGUCAAGGUGGUGCCACUGAAGCUUUGCAAGCUUUUUGUGGCUGCAAAGCUGAAUAUAGAUGUCUGUUUAAUGUAUUUUAUUAGGAAUGAAUAAAAAUGCCAGUUUUCCUGUAAAGUAAUGAAAAAGUAAACAUGUUCUCUUUCUGUUCUCUGGGUUUUAUAAACAGAACUAAGAAAAUAAUCGUUUUGUCUUUGGUAUACAGAGAAGGUCACGGAUGACUCAGGUCCUAUUGCUGCCAAAGAAGCCCAAAUCAUCAGCCCUCCACCACCAUGCCUGACAGUAGGAAUGAUGUGCUGGUGCUGAUAUGCUGUGUUUGUGGAGCUGUGCAUACUUACUUUGGUGUCAACUAUCCAGAGGACAUUGCUCCAAAACAUCCAGUGCCUAAUUCAGAUUCAACAUUGCAAAUCUUUCAAAAGUCCUGCCCUUCAACCCUUCUAACCGACCCAUAUGGUCAAUAUUGUUCUAAUGGUCCUGCCGUGACCUUUUACAGUUACCAUGUUGACUGAGGCCUGUGGAAUCUGAAAUGGAGCUCUUCUGUUUUUCAUUUUUUUGUCAUUUUGUACAUUUAUUGUCUGGCUUGAAGUGAAAAUUAAAGUCCAGGUUAAACCAUGACAUAUAUGUUGAUUUGAAUUGAUGUUGUUUAAUGAAGCAAGAAGUUUCUCAUUUGUUCAUUUUAAAAAUAACAGAACAGGGUCAGAACCUCAGGAGCAGGUGUGGCUUGUGUAAAAUUGGACCAAUAUUGACUUCAGAGACUGGGGCCAUAGAUGACCUGUUUUAUAGACUUAUUGUGCAUGGGUUCUCUCGUUAAUGAACAAUCUCAGAUUAUAAGAAACAAACAAUAGACUAAAAAACAAACUUAAAAAACGAGUGAAAGCAUCAAGAUUGUCCAAAAGAAUUCCUUAUUCGCUUCACUUAUUAUCUAGUUAAAAAAGCAAUAACUUGAUUAUUGAAAUGCAGUCUGGACAACAGACAUCCAUACAUGCUGACCCCUGACCUUUAAGGUAUGGCUAUUAAAUAAAUCACAUGAUCACUUUUGGAUAAAAUGCAGCGUUCCCAGACAUCCAAGCACAGCAGCUGUUCAACAGGAACGUUGGAGAAAAUCUGUACAUCGCUUUUAUCAGUCUGUAAGUUUUAGUUUUCUCCUGAAAAGUGAACAAAGAAUCAAACAUCUCAGUGACAGAACAGAUCAAAUAUUACAGAACAAUAUAAACCAACUACACGUGGAUUUCUGGUCAACAAACCCAAUCAGAUGAAACGUGGAGA